UAAGCAGGAGGUGACAUUGCCCACCACACCACAGGUGAUCAUGCUAGGUACGAGAAAUAGUUGCAUAGUUUCAAGGAGAGGAGGAUGUUUUAAUAGCAAUGUAUGUUGUGGUUUUCUAUUACAUGCUGCAAAUGAGCUGAAGAUGCCUUUGUUUUGGGGAGUAGUUUGAUGUCUGCAACCCACUGGAUGGUCAGCACUGAGGGAAGGUCUUCUAAGCUUACCAGCUGUAUGACUUCACCAGUGCUUUCGCUGUCUUUUUCGGCUCCUUUUAUGUAUUCAGUCUGGAGUAUCAAGAGUCAGCAUCCACUAUGCUGAAGAUGGUACAGAGAUUCUUCGUAAGGAUCAACCCGGAUGAGGGCACCAAGUGCACGGCCAAAGUUGGCACAAGUCGCAAGACGGGAGGUGUUGUCCAGAGAAAGGUGACCAUCGUCAGCUCCCGGGUCACAACUUUCCUCCAGUGGCUCACCGAAUUUGAGUGGAAGACUUCAAACUAGAUUAGCUGUCAGCAACGUACCAGUCUAGCCAGCCUAGGAUGGACUCCGUAAGCUCAGUGCCUGUAGGCUAACACAUAAGCUAAACCAACUGUGGUUUGUUUUGUUAUAUUCCUUAUCUUGUUCUCUUUCUGUUCUGGAGAUAUUCAUUCAUUCUCAGGGUGGACGUAGAAGUUAUAUCUCUUUACAAUUUCUCCAAUUCUGAUGAAACUUGUAGGUGAUGAAGCUUGUUAAGCUUGGAAUCUUAGAGGUUAUGAACCUACAUGAAGUAAUGACUGUUCUCGCUUUUAUAGUGUUCGACUUACUGUCAAAUUAUUCUUAAAGAUACUGUUAUAUUUUUAUGAUUUCAUCAAUUGUCAGAAGUAUUUGUAUGCACCGCUGAAUCACAUUGUUCAAUAAGCCAUUAAUAAUGGAUGUAAUUAAUAAUGACAGAAAGAAUUAAAAAAAUUAUUACUGUUGUACAUGGACUAGUCACUUAUUUGGAAUUUAUUAAAUUCAAUAGCAUUCAUGUAAAAUAUUCAAAAUAAAGAUUUUGUACUGCCAGUGCCAAAUAGUGUAAAAUACUGUGAAACACAAUUACAGUAAAAGUAUUAUGCAGCAAGACAAUUACAGUAUCAUUCAGCAAAUUAUUACAGUACAAUUACUGUAAGGUUAUUAUACUGUAAAACCAAGUUCCAGUAAGGGUAUUACACUGUAAAAGGAAGUUGCAGUAGGGGUAUUUGUGACGAGAAGGAGGGCGUAACCGGGCUGUGAGGAUGCGAGCCUGGCGCCGAGUUGCCAAUCUGCGGGAGAGGGAUAGAGGAGGAGACGGGGAUGCCAGAGAGAGAGAGAGAGAGAGAGACUUGGAGCUGUGUGUGUGUGUAUUAGGGCUGCCCCCUAAUAGUCGACCAAACAUUGGUCGAUGGGAAGAGUCUUGGUCGACCAAGUUUUGAUUGGUCGGUUGGUCACAGAAAAAAAAAUAAAAAAUAACUCCACAGGAAACCGACAAACACCGGUAUUAUGCGCAAGGUGCUACGCAGUGGCGUAUCCAGGACAUUUUUACUGGGGUGACCAAGAUGGGGCACAGACCUAGUGUGGGGUGACGAUACCGGGAGAACCUUUAUGAAUGGCACAUGAUCAAAAUGUGUAAAUAUCGCAUUGCUUUGCUUCAACAUCUACACAUGUAGAAUAAAUGAAUUCUUAAACUCAUGUUAGCAUUCACUGAAUUGUUUGUAUUCAAUAUCAGACUGUUGUUUUGACAUUUGACCGUUUUCUAUUCCUGUUCUAUUUCAACCUAUUACAGUUUCUGGGAAUCUCUGGUUAUUUUAACAUAACAUCCAUUUUUAAAUCAGUAAUUGUUUAGUAAAAGUCAGUUACACAUUUUUAAGAGCUAUUCUCAUUGUAGAGAAUUAAUCUGCGUAUAACAUCAGGUAUAGUGUAUAAUCAUAAAAAGAUACAAGUACAGCUGAUAACUGACUGAGGCGCAAUUCAAUCAAUCAUUCAAUCAAUUAUUCAUUCAUUUAUUAGCUAUAAUUGCACUGUCCAGCAGAAAUAUUGGGUACAAAUCAGUGUGUGAAAUUGGCUACGAGGGCUUAUAGGUGUCUGUCUGGAAACCCCAAAAUUGCAGAUUGAGCUCUGAAUACAGUAAAAAACAAAACUCUAUUUACAGUGUCUACUCAGGUUUAUUUUCCACAUGUUCUGAUAGCUUUUUAAUUUAGCAAUUACUUUGAAUAUUACCAAAUAAAAUAGUUAGUCAAAUCAUUUGUGGCAUUUAAGUGCAAUUUGCCCUGCCUCUUCAUAUUUAAAAUGUCAAAUAAGGUAUAAAAUCUCUGAAGAUUUUAUUGGUCUGACUGACCAAUAAUACACAUAAAGAGCUCAUAAAUAACUAAUGUAAAUAUUUAAAGUACAGUCACAGCACAAACCCCGCUGCCUGCGACCUGCGUCACCUGCCUGGCCACCCGCGGCCUGCCCCUCCCCCACUGAUCAAAGAUCAGUUCACACAGCUUCAGUCCCACCACUACUAUAAUGGUCAGAAAUAUAAAACUGACCCUGGGUCAGUGUGGCUCUAAAUCAACAAAUGACCUGAGAUGUCAUCUUUGAUUGACAGGUGUUUCUAUUGGUUCUUCGUUCUUGUGCUGAUGAACAUGAUGAACUACCAGUCAAUUCUGGGGUGGCCACAGGGUGGCCAGUGAGAUUUCAGGGGUGGCCCCUAAAAUCGCCACUGGUGCUAUGGGGUAAUUUUCGUUAAGCAGGGUUAGGGUUAAGCCUACACAAAGCCAGACACCUUGAUUACAAACUUUGAACUUUAUUUUUUAUUUGAACUAAAAAUGAAACUGGAAAAAAAUGAAGUACAAUUAAAAUGUGUGUUGUUCAACUUUUUGAAAGAUGGUUUAACAACAGUUGUCAAUAUCUCUUUGGAAACUAACCUACUUCUUCUGGGCAUUCUCUAUAUACCUCGCAAUAUCCAAUAACAUCGGCAACCCCUGGGCUGAGGGGUCGGUGAAUAUUUUUGCUUUAGUGAUUUCACAUUGAAAAUGUAAUUAAAAAACAAAAAACUUAAAUCAAAUACAUUUCUAAAUUUAAAUUGCACUCCAAACGAAAUGAAAAAGCAAUUAAAAUAAUGAAGCGAUAAAAGAAUAAUAAAUAUAUACACCUUUCCAUUUACCGUCAGGCAAGAAUCCGUCUUAACAUGCAGGCGGAAAAUUACUUACACAAAUGAAGACAUAAAAAGAUUUAUAAAUGUAAACAUAAUAAUUAUAAUGAUGAUAAUAAUCACUGAAAUAUAAAUCAUGGUUCGAGGUGAAUGUGUUUUUUGUAUUAUUUUAUGUUUUAAUCACAGAUGUAUAGGUUGCAGAGUUGUGUUCACAGUGAACUGCUCUGUAGAAAUAAAGCGAACUGAACUCAAAGCACCUCCUGAGCUGAGAUGUCGGAGGUCAUUUGCAGCACUCAUAGACGAUACUGUUCUUGCAAAAAAAUAAAAAAAAAUCAGAAGACAGAAACAAAGAAAGAGUGAGAACCUUUUACAUGCGCGUGUUCCACAAGAUUGAACGCCUCCAUAUCAGCGUGUCUUACAUGCGCAUAGACGGCUUUUCUGUCAUCUGUUCUUAUUAAUAUAAUAAAGUGUUUCUUCAAGCACGUGUCUGUGUGUCUACGGGCAAAUUACUUGUAAUAUUAAUUUGAUAAUAAUAAUAGCCUAAUAAUAAUAAUAAUAAUAAUAAUAAUAAUUUAAUACAUGGGAAAACGAGCGAAAUAUCAUCUUGACAUCGUCAAAAGCAUCAGCUAUUGGCGAUCACUCUGACCAAUGACCAUCUUCGAUCCCCAAGAUCAUCAUCUGUCAGCAAAACCCUAAUGUGCAUUUCUCUCUAUAAAUUAACAAAAUGUACAGACAGUCUCCUUGCUGGUUUUUCCGACACAUUCAGGAUCAUUACCGCUUUUGCUGGUGUCGCUGCAGCUUGCAUCGUGCGUGCGCUUGUAAAAUUUAUAUUACGGUUUAGUAUUUCUCUGUAAUGCAGAACAGUGAUAGCAAUGUUACUUAUAACAUUCUUUCUCAACCUAAUCGACUAAUGGCUUAAACUAACAACUAUUAGUCGACUAGGAAAAUCUUUGGUCGGGGGCAGCCCUAGUGUGUAUCAACAUGUGUUGUUAUGUUUCAGUUCAGCAUUUUGUGUUGGAAUUAAAGUCUUGUUAAUUGAUAAUUGUUAACCCGGUUCUCGCUUCCUUCUUUCCCGAUGAACGAGAGGCUUGUCUGCCACACUGGUGCCGAAACCCGGGACUGGAGGAAGACACGCCAUCAGAGAGCCAACGCUGCUGACAGAGGAUCACAACGCCGAGGAGAGGAUUGGUUCUAUGGUACUGGAACGGUCCGCCAGGAGACGGAGGAAAUGCUGCCAUACACCAGGAGGUGGAGGAGCUGUUACCGUCAACAGGGGACAGAGGAGUCACUGCCAUCUGCCAGGAGGCGGAGGAGCCGUUGCCUCCGCCAGGGGACGGAGGACCCGCUGCGUCUACCGGGAAACGGAGGAACCACUGCUGUCCGCCAGGGGAUCCAGUGCCAUCGCCCGGCGUUGCGGAGGAUCGCUGGACAGCUGGUUGAGACCGAAUGGCGGUAUGGUCGUGAACCGGAGUUUUUUUUUUUUGGGGUCACACCCAAUGCUGUAGACGAAUGGUAACUGUCUUGUUGCCUCGCUGCCCUUUCAGUCAAUGACUCAACAGACAGCGUGUGUGUACAAAGAUCUGUCCAGAAACUGGUUUUGGACAGGCUACUGAGGCAGCAUAACUUCACAUCUUGCUAAGAUACCAGCAACUGAUUAUCGACAUCUGGUGUCCACUAAAGGUAACGCGUCUGCUUCAGUCAGUCCAACUGAACCAC